AGGCUUCUGUAUCUGCUGAGGUUCCGCCAAACACCAGACCACAAGGGUUGAUGAGACUCCCAAGAUAAGUGAAGCA
rnacentral:pre_miRNA from 1 species